ensembl:sense_intronic Gm44258 predicted gene, 44258
GGGGGGUUGCUCACGAUUUGUGCAGACAAAGGAGGACACCGACCACGCUCCCUUCCCGGGAAGCACACGCUGAGUAUCAGACAUGUGCCGCCACAAGCAGAAAUGAGCUGAUGGGUAGAAGAGACUGGGUCCUUGCUUUGCCUCACUGUGGCUCCCGGCUCUCAGAAGCUUUGCAUGCCUCAGGCUCCACGGCAUCUGCACUGACCCGUGAUCCGGGAUAAACGGGAAGAUGGCGAUGUUUCUAAGUUUGGUAGUUUUCUUUUUAAGCCUACAUUCUCUUUCCCAUUAAAGUGGCUGGUUUUAUCUAA